rnacentral:rRNA from 1 species
GAUGAACGCUGGCGGCGUGCCUAAUACAUGCAAGUCGAGCGAACAGACGAGGAGCUUGCUCCUCUGACGUUAGCGGCGGACGGGUGAGUAACACGUGGAUAACCUACCUAUAAGACUGGGAUAACUUCGGGAAACCGGAGCUAAUACCGGAUAAUAUAUUGAACCGCAUGGUUCAAUAGUGAAAGACGGUUUUGCUGUCACUUAUAGAUGGAUCCGCGCCGCAUUAGCUAGUUGGUAAGGUAACGGCUUACCAAGGCAACGAUGCGUAGCCGACCUGAGAGAGUGAUCGGCCACCCUGGAGCUGAGACACGGUCCAGACUCCUACGGGAGGCAGCAGUAGGGAAUCUUCCGCAAUGGGCGAAAGCCUGACGGAGCAACGCCGCGUGAGUGAUGAAGGUCUUCGGAUCGUAAAACUCUGUUAUUAGGGAAGAACAAAUGUGUAAGUAACUAUGCACGUCUUGACGGUACCUAAUCAGAAAGCCACGGCUAACUACGUG